UUGUGUUGAAAAUCACAGAAAUGGCCUCGAAAACAGGUGACAUUCAGACCCCUAAAUUGGCUGAUUUUCCAUGAUAAAAAUAUACAGCAAGUGGGUGCACCAUGGCUAUCCAUGUAUUUUCUGGAAGACAUACCCCCAACAAUACUGAAGAUAUGUUUUGUAUGAUUUCAGGUGUAGACGUUGUGUUAGCUGUGAGGACGGACAGUGCCCCCACCCCGGCAGCCAGUAGCCGAUUUGUGAAAAACUGUAGUGUGCCCCCUUAAGGUGUAGACGUUGUGUUAGCUGUGAGGACGGACAGUGCCCCCACCCCGGCAGCCAGUAGCCGAUUUGUGAAAAACUGUAGUGUGCCCCCUUAAGGUGUAGACGUUGUGUUAGCUGUGAGGACGGACAGUGCCCCCACCCCGGCAGCCAGUAGCCGAUUUGUGAAAAACUGUAGUGUGCCCC